rnacentral:lncRNA from 1 species
UGGUGGAGAGCACGGCUGGCUCAGAACUGGAGCCCGCUUUCCCCGGCGUCACCGCCUUUGCCUCUCGAGCUCAUGCUGUCGCCAGGGCGUCUCAAGGUGUCACAUUUGCUUUCUGACUAUUUCGGAGUGCUCCGGCCUUGGCAGGCUCCCACCUGCCCAGUUCUGGGACGCAUUGCCAGCCUGCCCUAGCGCUGGCCUCACCUCCCCAGGGCCGCCCUCCCCGCCGGCCACCAGGCUGCACCUGCGUCUGGGCUGUGCCUGCUGCAGCAGCUCAGCACAGUGCACAGCCCCCACCCUGCAGUGGCCUUCGCAGGAGCCCGCACUGUAAAAUGGAACAAAGUCACGUGGACACACACACCUCUUCUCCUCCUCCUCUCCAGCAUCCCCUCUGGAGCGGCAGCAGAAACAGAAAAGUUUGCCAAGUGACAAUGAAAAGACAGCAGCCAAGUCAAGGACAGAGGAGCUGAGCUGAAUCACCAGACAGCGGGACAAAGCGGGCCAGCUUCUCCCCGUCCUCUGCUUCCAUGGGAACCGGGUCCAGCCUCCUCAAGGGCCUUCCUGACAGCUCCGGCCCUGCCCUCUGCCCUCUGCCCUCUGGGUCCCGGCAGCGCUCCCUGGCCAAGCUCCUCAAGUAACCCUUGCUUGGUUAACGGGCAAAAUGCACCACAGCCAACUGUGAUCUUCAGGGGAGGGAGGGCCCGUCUGACACUGAUUCCAGGUGCUAGCAAAGCACUCUAAAAUAUGUCGAGGAGAGGCUUCAGAGAGAUUAACGCAGCACGACCAUCAUCUGCGGAGCCAGGCCAUAUGCCAGGGCGGCCAAGAUUUCCCCUGCAACACUGGUCUCACACUUCAACCAUGACCUCCAUUCACGUAUAUAUAUGUAAGAGCUUAAUUAGGAUAUAAUUCACUUGCCAUGAAAUUCACCCUCUAAAACAUACAAUUCAGUGAUUUUUAGUGUAUUCACAGAGUUGUGCAGCCACCACCAUUUCCAGAACAUUCUCUCACCCC